rnacentral:rRNA from 1 species
UACAGAGGUCCCAAGCGUUGUUCGGAAUCAUUGGGCGUAAAGCGCGCGUAGGCGGCCCGGUAAGUCCGCUGUGAAAGUCCAGGGCUCAACCCUGGAAAGCCGGUGGAUACUGCCGGGCUAGAGUCCGGAAGAGGCGAGUGGAAUUCCUGGUGUAGCGGUGGAAUGCGCAGAUAUCAGGAGGAACACCAAUAGCGAAGGCAGCUCGCUGGGACGGUACUGACGCUGAGGUGCGAAAGCGUGGGGAGCGAACAGG